GGAUUGCUCAGUCAGUAAACUAUGAGACUUUUAAUCUCAGGGUUGUGGGUUUGAGCCCCAUGUUGGGCA